GGGUUGGGGGUGUGGUCUUGGGGAAUAAGGCUUAGGGGUUCACUACUUCAAGCAAACAAGUUCAGACCUAUGAUGCCAGAUUUACAGUUCUAUUAAUACUGAAUGCAUCAACAUCAACAAUGCCAAACAAGAAAUAAAAAAGUAAAAUCUACAAAAGUUUAGAAAAUCUUAUUUGCAAAUUCAAAAGAUAUUAAUGUUACAAUGAGUAAAAAACAAGACUAACCUGCUUUGGGGCCAUCUUCCUCUC
rnacentral:misc_RNA from 1 species